CUGCCGCUUUUCUCUCCGUCUGCGUCGCCGUCAACCUGAGAAGACGCGGCGCGCUUUCACCGUCGCGUUCAUCUGCGACUGAGGUUGUGACUCACCCCGCCAGAAUAAAACAGGAACUGGAUCUUUUCUUCUCAUGAGCGAACAACUGGUUCAACAGCGCGUCGGCGAUAUGAUCUCAACCGCAAAAGUUUGCUUUAAACGAGGGAACCCGGAACCAAAAGCGACGGAGCCGUCGGUCCGCGUCGGUCUGGUCUGGACCCUACGGCGAAAAAAAAA